rnacentral:snoRNA from 1 species
GGCAGGCAGACAGGCCAGCCCAGUAAAUCCACUGCAUAUACACCUCAGUAUACGAAGUGAUGCUUGAUCUGUACUGUUAAUGGAGGGACAUAA